rnacentral:siRNA from 1 species
AGGUAGUGUGAUUGACAUGCCUA